rnacentral:rRNA from 1 species
CCUACGGGGGGCAGCAGUGAGGAAUAUUGGUCAAUGGGCGCGAGCCUGAACCAGCCAAGUCGCGUGAGGGAAGACGGUCCUAUGGAUUGUAAACCUCUUUUGUCGGGGAGCAAAAGACGCCACGCGUGGCGUUCCGAGAGUACCCGAAGAAAAAGCAUCGGCUAACUCCGUGCCAGCAGCCGCGGUAAUACGGAGGAUGCGAGCGUUAUCCGGAUUUAUUGGGGUUAAAGGGUGCGCAGGCGGAAGAUUAAGUCAGCGGUAAAAGUGAGAGGCUCAACCACUUCGAGCCGUUGAAACUGGUUUUCUUGAGUGAGUGAGAAGUAUGCGGAAUGCGUGGUGUAGCGGUGAAAUGCAUAGAUAUCACGCAGAACUCCGAUUGCGAAGGCAGCAUACCGGCGCUCAACUGACGCUCAUGCACGAAAGUGUGGGUAUCGAACAGGAUUAGAUACCCGUGUAGUC